rnacentral:rRNA from 1 species
UACAGAGGUCCCGAGCGUUGUUCGGAUUCAUUGGGCGUAAAGGGUGCGUAGGCGGCUUCCUAAGUUUGAUGUGAAAUCCUGGGGCUCAACCCUGGAACUGCAUUGAAUACUGGGAGGCUAGAGUACUGGAGAGGAGACUGGAAUUUACGGUGUAGCAGUGAAAUGCGUAGAGAUCGUAAGGAAGACCAGUGGCGAAGGCGAGUUUCUGGACAGUUACUGACGCUGAGGCACGAAGGCCAGGGGAGCAAACGGG